rnacentral:rRNA from 1 species
GAGUUUGAUCAUGGCUCAGAUUGAACGCUGGCGGCGUGCUUAACACAUGCAAGUCGAGCGGUAACAGGCGUAGCAAUACGUGCUGACGAGCGGCGAACGGGUGAGUAAUGCUUCGGAAUCUUCCUCGUAGUGGGGAAUAACCUGGGGAAACUCAGGCUAAUACCGCAUACGAACUACGGUUGAAAGCAGGGGAUCGCAAGACCUUGCGCUAUGAGAUGAGCCGAAGUCGGAUUAGCUAGCUGGUGAGGUAAAGGCUCACCAAGGCGACGAUCCGUAGCUGGUCUGAGAGGACGACCAGCCACACUGGGACUGAGACACGGCCCAGACUCCUACGGGAGGCAGCAGUGGGGAAUAUUGGACAAUGGGGGCAACCCUGAUCCAGCGACGCCGCGUGUGUGAAGAAGGCCUGCGGGUUGUAAAGCACUUUUAGUGGGAUGAAAAGCCGAAAGGCUAAUACCUUUCGGUCUUGACCUAACCCAGAGAAAAAGCACCGGCUAACUCUGUGCCAGCCGCC